UUGUUUGGCUUACGUGGAGUUAAUCCUUAAUGAGAAAACUUGAGAUCCCCCGCUCAGUGAAGGCCCUUUUCGGAUUACUAAUGUCUUACGAGUAUUCGUAAUUGACAUUACUUUUUCCAACCCGAGAGCCCUAAAAGUUGAUGACCUUAGAACCCUUAACCCAUCUUGGCCUUUUAGGACGUAGUAUGUGAAGGAGAAUAGCGAUCCAAAACACAGUGGAAUUAAA
rnacentral:lncRNA from 1 species